ACAAGCUUAUUGAUAAGGUAAAUUUUAUUCCCAUAUUACAGAUGAAGAAAACAAGGCUCCAAGAGAUUAAAUUAUUUGCCAAGGCUCAAAGCUACUAUGUGUUACAACCAGGAUUCAAACCUAAAACUUGAAGUCCCAAAAUCUUAACCAGUAUACAAUACUGCCUGCUAGAGUUGCUCAAGAAGAUCAAUGUAAGAAUGCCCCCGUCAACAACUGGAACCACAGGAAAGGAGUGGGUGGGACUUACGUUCACUCAAGAGUGUCAUAGGUACCAUGUGGCAAGAAGUGUCACUCUGAAAAGCUGAAGAGAUGUUGUUUUGUAACCAAAGCUUAAAGCGAAGCAGGAGGGAAUGAGGAUAGAAGGUAACUGGGAAGGUAACUGGGAAGCCUAGAGUAGUUGUGUUAAUGAUGGUUAAAUUCUCUUUUUGUGCUUGGCAGUGGGAUAAAACUAUUUCCUCUCAAUCUGGAUUCAGCGGAUGUGGACCACUGAAUUAAUUCUCUACAUCUGGAGUUCGUGAGCUUAACAGGCAACAAAGACUCGAUCCCCUUCAAAAGCCACCUCUUAACAGCUUAGCUGUCACUGACAGGCUGCCUAUGCUACUGACCUUGGAAGUUCCCCAUUCAGGGCAUGGAUUCACAACACGUGCAGACCAACAGAAACAAACUGCCACUUUUCUCCUGAAAUGAAGAUUUACAGUGUUCACUGCCACCUCCAAAGGCACUUCACUGACUUCUACUAUAACACUGAAGAGAUCGAACUCAGAACCUUGGACUUAUGAGGCCCCGGCCUCAUCAAAUUUUUUGAAAGAGGUGACUGUGGAUAAAUGAAACCAGGAGUACAAAACUUUGGGUGAAGAGAGACUGGUACACAGACAACUGCUUCCCACUAAGGUGAAUGUGGACCUUUGUUCACUUAGGGUGAAGCUGUGACAUGUAUCACACUAGUCACUUUGAACUCACUAUCCAGGAGAGAUGUACUCUGCCUCAAGUAAAUUCAACAAUAGAUACACACACACACACACACACAAUGUGAAAAUGACUUUCACUUUAAAAAGGAAUUGUCAAUGGUAGUCCUUAAAAAUAAGUCCUAGAAGCCAGGGACAUAUCUCAGUGGCACUGCGCCUGCCUUGCAAGCACAGGUCCGCAGUUCAAUCCCCGGUAACAAAAAAAUAAAUAAAUAAGUACUAGAAAAACUCAUUGUACCAAUAUAUCUAUUACAUACUAUAAGAAACAAUAAAUGAGAACACAUAAAUGAAUUUAUGCUUUCAAUAACAAUUCUAAAUAAGGGGUUAAUAUUUUUCUGGCACAAAAACCAAAGAGAGCAGAAGUUUUCACUGAAGAAUACUUAAUGAUCAGUGCACAGGAGUGUCAUCUCCCUUGGUUCCAGUCAACAUUUUCCAAUAAACAAAUAUUUGAGUUCCUAUCAUGUGCCAGACAAUAUUAUCUGAUCAGUAUUUCCUGUAUCUCCAUCUCCUGACUUGACAAACAGAAAGGACUCCAACAGUUCAAAGAUGCUCACCCUGGAGUAAUACUUCCACACUCUGUUUUGUCAAGAUUUUAAAGUACUAAAGUGUGACAUAACUAUACCACUAUUUUCAAAAGUUAGGUUUAAAUCUAGUGAGAAAGACAAAAAUGCUAAUUUUUAUUAAAUUCUCUGAGUACUUAAUACUGACUGCCCAAAUCCUGAGAAUAAUUUAAACCUAUACAAAAAUCUGGUGUGAUAAGAGAUAAGAAGAAUAAAAUAGUUCCAAGGCUAUUCAAAGUCAAAAAGAAGAGCCAAAGCCAUUUUCUCAUCUUAAAUAUAACAUAAACAGGCUUACCGUUUUGCUUACUCUCUAUCAGAUGUAACCUGGCAUUUGCAUUGCUAACAGCCCUUUCACUAAGUGUGCUCACAAUUGUAAGUCUCUUUUCAAUGGCAAUAACUGGAUCCCCUACCUAUCCUAGGCCUUGGACAUGCUAAUAAUAUCAAACUGCAGAUAAGUAUUCUUUCACGUACAAUGUAUAAACAGAAUAUAAAAAUUUUUGGAGGGAUGUGUUUGUUUUCUUGGGAAGGCAUUGUACCAGAAGUUUCAUCUUGCUUUGUUUUAAUUUUCACUUGAAAUUCUAUAAAGAACAAGACCAAGUACAAUUUAUUCCUCAUGAAAGAUACCUCUUACAAGACAAAAAACAAUGGAAAUAAGAAAAUGUCUAAAAGAGCUAUUUAUCAAUAUACACCAGAAAAAGGGUCUCUACUUUUUUGUAGUAUUAAAUUCUUUGUCUUCAUACAGUUAUCAACUCAAAACCAGUCAAAGGACCCUUUGGAAAAAUGCAACUA